UGUUCGGUUUAUUCGGUUUAAUCGGUUAUAUACCAAACCAUAUCCAAAUCCUACGGUUUUUAUAAAAUUAUAUCCAUUCGAUUUAUAUGGUAUAUACCAAAUCCAAACCAUAUUGUCUAUUUCGGUUCGGUUCGGUUCGGUACAGUUCGGUUUUACCAUAUUGAACAGCCCUAAUAUAAUUUAUUACAUUUAAAAUUGUAAGAGAAUGAUCUAUUAUUGUACACACCAAAAAACACAUGAGCUGAGAAGACUAUGCAUAUAUGGUUUACAUACUAAGUACAAAGUUUAGUUCCUUUCUUGUGUAAUGCAUCACGUAUUAUUUAAUCUUAGUUAUCGAAGAACUGGAUUAUAUUGUCAUUGUGAUUUCAAGUUCUUGCUAGUUAGGUGAUCAUCAAGCUGAUUACCAUAAUCACAUCACUUAAAACACAUGCACUUGUUCUAAUCUAGUGGAUUUGAUUAAAACACACACACACAAGAUUUAUCAUCAUAUAGUAAUCAUCUAAUCUUAUUUAUAUGCUUAGCCUACAAUUCAUAAUUAACUAGACUAGUUGCAUGAAGGCAAAGUAGAAUCAGAUGAUAUUAAAUAUAACAAAAACUCUUAAAAACUUGAUAAAUAAUAGAUAAUACAAGACAUGACCGUCUAAUAUUUGUUGUUCUUUUUUCAUUUAUAAAGAGAAAUAACUUGGAACCAUUAUAGCAUAUUUAUCGCUGUUGUUUCACACGGUCUCUUAAUGUAAAAGUGAAUCAAAAUAAAUCAAAGAUAUGUAAUAAGUGAAAACACGUCUCUUAAAUUGGAACAAUAAGAGGCGUAUCUUAAAGGACACCUGUUUGUUUCCUUCUUCCUCUUUUGAUUCUCCUCCUUUCGAUUCUGACUACUGAUAAAUCCUCCUCCUUCUUCCACCUCCUUGCUCCUCCUCCGGUGCCGGACCUCAAACUCUGUCUUCUCUCUGCGAACCUCUGUUACCAACAGGGCCGGGCCUGAAAAAUAUUGGUCCACAAGCAAAAAGAUAUUUUUGACCCUUUUGUUUUUAAAAACAAAAAAAAAAAAAUUAAAAGUUGUGGCUGAGAAUACUUGAACUCGGAUCAAUUCCCACAAAUAUAACAAUGUUACAAAUAGAGCUACAUGCUUUUUAUGAUUAUACUUGGCCCCUAAAAUAUAUAUAUUUUCGUCAGGCCCCAAGCACAUGCUUGAUGGACUUCUAUUCAGGCCCGGCCCUGGUUACCAAAAGUAAAGGCAAAUUCUAUUGUCUUUUCUCUGGCGGCAACCAGAAGGAGGUAUAGUUUACUUACUUACUUUCUAGCUUCCGUUUGAUUGUCUUUGUGUAAAUCAAAAUGAGUUUCAAAGGAAUCUCUGAAAGAGUUAAGGUUGUGGGUGUUCUUGUAGUUUUGAAUAGGAUUGAAAGUCCUCUCCUUUAUCGUGUCUCCAUUUGUUUUAAUGUUGUAAACCUUAAUGGGUUUUUGAUUUGGAAGAGGAAAGUUUCAAACUAUAUGGACAAAAUGAUGAGACUUUUGUUAAAUGAAAUGCAUGUAUUCGUGAAAGAUUGAUUGAAUUGGUCCUGGGAAUCAGUAUGUUACAGCUGUUAAGAUGAUUCUACAAGCAUUUUAGCCGCUUCAUCAUCAAAUUGUCCGACCAACCGCUCUCUCUGCCACACCGGCUUCACCGUUGGCUCACUCUUUCCUGCAGCUAACUCGGUUAAAGCAUGGAUGAUCUGAGCCACACCGAAUCCGUCACAUACGGCGUGCGUCAACGCUGUGCCUAUGGUGAAUCCUCCACAUGCGAACUUGGUCACCUUAAAAGUAAAAUCAAAGGGAACAAUGGAUUAUCUUAAUCAUGUGUACACUACGAUGAAAACAAAAUUCCUUAAAUAAAUAUUGAGAGUUUAUUGAGAUUUAUAUAAUCUUCAAGAAAUGAUAUACCUAUUUUAUUUUUUAUAA